rnacentral:lncRNA from 1 species
GCGGGGGCGGGGCCGCGGCGCCUAUAAAGUCGCCCUCCGCCCGGACGUAAACAAACCUCGCCUGGCUCCCAGCUGGUGCUGAAGCUCGUCAGUUCACCAUCCGCCCUCGGCUUCCGCGGGGCGCUGGGCCGCCAGCCUCGGCACCGUCCUUUCCUUUCUCCCUCGCGUUAGGCAGGUGACAGCAGGGACAUGUCUCGGGAGAUGCAGGAUGUAGACCUCGCUGAGGUGAAGCCUUUGGUGCCCUGCUCUGUUGGUGGUUGGGGACAGCUCGCCUGCAGUGGAUGCCGUGGUUCCUGUACUACUGCCUUGUACUUUUCAUUUUGGCUCACCGUGGAUUUUCUCAUAGGAAGUUUGGUCAGAGUGAAUUGAAUAUUGUAAGUCAGCCACUGGGACCCGAGGAUUUCUGGGACCCCGCAGUUGGGAGGAGGAAGUAGUCCAGCCUUCCAGGUGGCGUGAGAGGCAAUGACUCGUUACCUGCCGCCCAUCACCUUGGAGGCCUUCCCUGGCCUUGAGUAGAAAAGUCGGGGAUCGGGGCAAGAGAGGCUGAGUACGGAUGGGAAACUAUUGUGCACAAGUCUUUCCAGAGGAGUUUCUUAAUGAGAUAUUUGUAUUUAUUUCCAGACCAAUAAAUUUGUAACUUUGCAGCGG